rnacentral:rRNA from 1 species
GGGGGAUAACUACUGGAAACGGUGGCUAAUACCGCAUGACGUCUACGGACCAAAGCAGGGGCUCUUCGGACCUUGCGCUAUCGGAUGAACCCAUAUGGGAUUAGCUAGUAGGUGGGGUAAUGGCUCACCUAGGCGACGAUCUCUAGCUGGUCUGAGAGGAUGAUCAGCCACACUGGGACUGAGACACGGCCCAGACUCCUACGGGAGGCAGCAGUGGGGAAUAUUGCACAAUGGGCGCAAGCCUGAUGCAGCCAUGCCGCGUGUAUGAAGAAGGCCUUAGGGGUUGUAAAGUACUUUCAGCGGGG